UUAAGUCCACAAUCAUCCAGUCACACAAUCACAUCUAAAAUGUAAUAAAUAACUUGUUUGAUUCAAGUUUAUGAUCUUACAAAUCUAUCCUUUGAAUUAAUAUCAAUAUCAUAUAUCCAAAUAUUAACUCAACUAUUAUGAUGCAAGGCUUUGCUUGGUUCAAAUAAGUCAUUAUUUAGAACCUAGACAAAUUAGGAUAACAUGGCUGAAUUUGUCUACUACAUGUUUUAGGAUAAAUAGUUU
rnacentral:lncRNA from 1 species